UUAAAGUCGUGGUUUCCUAGAGUCUCUCAUUCUCCCUUAUGUGUGAUAUAAUCGUUUAAGCUUAUAGCUUAUGUUUUGAUUGUAUCAAUUAUGCCCCUCACUUUGCACUCUUGUAUGGUGCACGUGUAGUUUUCCUUCUAUAUAUGUUCGUCUUUAUGCUCCUAGGUGGUUUGACUGCUACUCAACUUUGACAUUGAUUUUCGAGUCACUUUGGAAGACAUCUU
rnacentral:lncRNA from 1 species